UACUUAGAAGAACUGGCGGGACAUCUGCAGCUCUUUCCCAUCCCUGCAAUCUGCUUUGACACCACCAUGUUAACAGCUGAAUCCUUUAUGUGAUAAUUAUACGAACAAAUGACAAAAAAUAUUGCCUUGAGAAGUCACUCGCUGUGCCAUUGGUUGGCCCAUGACUCAGCAGAGAGUUCAGAGAUGAAGGCCUAACAGACUGGCCAGUGAUGGAAUGGAUGCUUCAGAGCUAUUUCAGGAGGGCUACAAGAAUCCCCCGGUUUAGUCCUACUACAAAUCCAUCGUUGAUCCUGGACGCAGGCUACAGCUGGCAAAGGAAAGGAAAUACAGGGUUCAAAGUAAGAUCUUUCCCCAAGAGCAUAUUUUACAAUGAAACAAAGGAUGAGACCCCAGAGUACAGAAUGAAUCUACGUGUGUACUGGGAACUGGGAGAUGAGGGCAAACGUGAGUGCAAAGAGAGAAAGAAGAUGGAGGCCCCAUGA
rnacentral:lncRNA from 1 species